AUUGAACGCUGGCGGCAGGCCUCACACAUGCAAGUCGAACGAGUGGCGGACGGGUGAGUAAUGUCUGGGAAACUGCCUGAUGGAGGGGGAUAACUACUGGAAACGGUAGCUAAUACCGCAUACCAUCAGAUGUGCCCAGAUGGGAUUAGCUUGUUGGUGGGGUAACGGCUAACAAAGGCAACGAUCCCUAGCUGGUCUGAGAGGAUGACCAGGAACACUGGAACGGAGACACGGUCCAGAGUCCUACGGCAGGCAGCAGUGGAGAAUAUUGCACAAUGGGCACAAGCUUGAUGCAGCCAUGACGCGUGUAUGAAGAAGGCACUCGGGUUGUAAAGUACUUUCAGCGAGGAGGCGUUACCCGCAGAAGAAGCACCGGCUAACUCGGUGACAGCAGCCGCGGUAAUUC
rnacentral:rRNA from 1 species